UCUGCAUGCAAGUCCGAGUCGCACUGACUCCACUCCAGUGACUUGAGUCCAAGUCGCUGUGACUCUAGCCGACUCGAGUCCAAGUUGUAGUGACUCGAGUCCACAUUUCUGGUCACUGUGCUAAUAUAAAGCGUGUUAAUCCAAAGGACCAAGGCAUUAAAAGAACAACAACAGGGAACGAACUGACGAAACUACCCCAUUCGGCUACUUUUGCAGCCCCGCUGCAACCACAGCACGUCUGACACACACAGGUGCACAAACACGACCGAGUGAUGCAAGGUGAACGCACACGUGGGAGGAGAGUGUCACAUCCCAACCACAGGGCCUCAACAUUUCCGACAGAUGACUUGCAUAUCACAAAACAAAAAAGCCUCAAGAGUCAAGUCAUCAGGACUUAUCUGCUCAUCCAGGCAUCCUACUGUUGCCCCAUCAGCAACUCCAACGUAUUUAUUAUUCAUUUAUUUCCUAUACUGUAUUCUCUUCAUUUUGUAGCAUUAAUCUUGGCUGCACAGCUUCCAGUUUGUGUAUGUGAAUGCUGAGUUUUGUUUUUGUCCAAUCAGAUUUCAGCAUCAUUGUGUUGCCACGUCAAUCUAAGCUGCCCAGGGCCUUCACAAUCGGCGGUGCAGGUCGAUUUAAACUAUUUCAACAAUGGAACUGUUUCUUUAACCAGAUUUCAGAUUCGCCACAUGCAGUAGCGUCUCAAUGUUCCGUCCGCAGCCAAGUUCACCCAGCAAAAAAUCUCUGCAGCAAUCUGCAUUCAUGAAUACAUUUAAUAAUCCGCAUCUUUCGUGAGUAUAAUGUAUUUUAUCUAAAUAUAUUGUGUUUUUGUCAGACUAUUAUUACAUAAAACUGAGUUUUAGUUGGUCGUGCUGUUACAGCUGCGGUUGUUUUUCAAACUGUUCUUUAAGUAAAGUUGAGUUCACUAAGUACUCGUACUUGUGAAAGUGUUAUCGGUGCAUCCCUUGUGUUGUAUUUUAGGGUUUCAUAUGACAGCAGUUGAUGUCAUUUUUUUUUGUUUUGUUUCAAGUUUGUUCGCUUGAAAUGAGAUCAACCUUUCGCAAACCAAUGUUUCUAUUUGGAUUUCUGUUACUGGUGUUGUACAUUUGAGACCAUUUGUUUGUGCUGUUUGACAAGAAUUGCAAAGUUGAAUUUGGCUGAACAGGACAGGGUAACAAAACAACAACUCGGAAAUAAAAAGAAUAGUGAAGCUGUACACUGCUAUAUUAGCUUUGCAUGCUCGCUGGCAAAUAGUUAACUGCUUGUCACUUGUGUGAUGAAAAGGUUUUACUUUUACAUGCAGGUCGUUUAAACAUUUUAUGUGACUUUAGAGGUUGGUUUAAUUGCACAUAAGGGUCACUAACUGUGUUUUUAGGGGUUCCGUUGUAGUGAAACGCUGCCCAAAAUGGUUGCCGUGGCACGCAGACCGAGAGGGCGAGUCAACGUGCGCACGAACUAACGAAACUUGAAGGGGGACAUACAGCCCAUCGUUGUGCAUCAAGAUACUUCCCCGUUACCAUGGUUACGGUGUCCCGGUGUCACUCGUUCGUCCUGCUGUGGACCAUUGUAACAUGUUGUGCAUGAAAAGGGAGGAAGUGUAAGAUUUUAUUUCCACACUCGCUGUCAAUAAUUGUCAUGCAACAUCACUUUGAAUUAAGGAAAAGAAGAUUCUCGCUUUCUUGCUGAAAGGCUUAUUCUCCUGCGAAUCACUCAAUUAAUAUUUAGUUGUGUAAGCACUUCUCUGACAACUGCUUGCCGUCUGUGUUGCAUGGAGUCAACUUGUGAACUACUAUUUGAGCUCACCACGUUUGGACUACAUCGCACAGUAAAAGCUAUUAGAAACUUCGUUUUUAAAUGCGCUAUUAUUAUUCUCAAUCAGCAUUAGUGGGUUACAGUGCGAUCUCAGAGGGGAUCCCCGAGAAUUGACUGCUUGUCUCUUGGAAUCAACACACUCGAAUGAAUCAUUUGCGUUUUUUGUUUUUGUUUGUUUUUUUGCAUCACUGAAUAAAUGUUAUUUGCUGUCGUAGUGUUGGGAAAACCGAUGCCCCGCCCACAGAGUUGGGCAGUGUGACACAACAGCUUUGGCACGUGAGCGUUGCGAGUAGUUGUGUUUUAUAAUUAGCCCCGUCACCACGUCUGUCUUUGUGAGCAGUCAAUUGGAGUUGAUGGCCACGGCCUAUUUUUGUCCUCCCCCAGCCUCCUCACCUAUGUGGCACGUGUUUGCUGUUUAAAGCUCUUGAGUUUGCUUGGAGUUAGCACAAACGUGUCAGUUAUUUGCCAGCGCUUUGCUUCUCGCCUGAUGUUACAGUACAGUGAACCCCUGUUUAUUGCGGGGGAUACGUUCCAGACCAACCUGCGUUAGGUGAAAAUCCGUGAUGUCGAGAGGCCAAGUAAUUAGUAGCUAUAAAGAUUCACUCCUCCCACAUGCUUUAAACACGCUUUAACUCAUGAAAGCACACUUUUUGAAGUAUUCCUGAACGCCUGUUCUCCCACUCUCGCAAGUUACACGUUGCAGUGAUUCUACAAUAACACUGAAUGCAGUAUGGCUGUAGAGUGCAUACCAAUAGUUCUCGAAAUAAGAGGCAAUGUGUGCUUGCUUCAAGUGCUUUAAUUUGUCACUCCCAGUUUGUUUACUGUAAAAAUGACACGCAAAACAAGAGCAUUAAAACGUACAUUUAUUGACCCUGUAAAGUGAAUGAGAUUUGUUUCUAAGUACAUUAUACCUUUUUGAAGAUAAUUGCAUAAAAUGUGCUAAGACUGACAACGAUGGAGUACUCAAUUUUGGAUUUUUCAGGUUAAAUAGUUUUUUACCAUUUCAGGUGUUCUAAUUAGUGACACUCUCUGGAGUGCGGCAUGAGUCACCCCUCACCCGCUGUAUAAGAACUUGAGCGCCUUCAUUCGCAUAGGCAGUUAUGGGGCGCAAUUGUGACGUGCAGUCAGCUAGUUAACAAAGACUACAACCCGAAAAUGCAUAUUCCCUUCCGGUAGUAUGCUGCCGUGGUAGCAUAAAUUCAGACUUGCCAAAGUAUUUAGAAGUAGUUGAUAUGGCCGAAAUGUUCAUAAGGUGAACGUUCAUCAGUGAUAUAAAAAUAUUCCAAAUUAUCAGGGAGUGAUAAACUGCAGUAUAGUGGGUGAACACUGUACCGAAAUAGUAAACAGUGGGAGUGUGCAAACAACGAGCUCACUGCCCCACUGGGCCGCUCAGCGUCAUACGCUGCAAUUUCGAGGUUUGACGGCUGCAAAGCGCUUCGCCUGCUCAACGAGAGACUUGUUCACCCCCGUAGAUUUAGCCACGCUGUAAUUAUUGUGAUUUGUAUGGGAAAGCAAGGAGAGGGAGGCAGGGAGGGUGGAGAUCCAUCGGGAAGCGGUGGGAAUCUUGCGCCACUCCAGAAGGAGAAUCGUUCAGCGCAACGGGCGGAUCGCGUGUCUUGCUUCUGCCUGGACACCGCUAUCCAUUAGCAACGGAAGGCUAACGGCGAAGCUUCUGCGCCAAACAUUUCCACGCCUCUUCUUCCGAGGGACCAUGGAUGCCAAAGUUGCUUUGGAAGACUCUGGAUAUAAUGCAACAGUGCUACUUUUUACUGUUUGUCUAUUAAGAUGAGUUAUUUGUUGCUCUCGCUGUGUGCCACACAGCAGGCCGUCCGCGGGCGGAUGGCCUUUUCCCAUCCCUGCCACACUUCAGUGUGUCCUCACGCCAACUAACUGGGUGGCACCUGUGGUGGCAUCGCCGUCCUCCUGCCCUGUUAAACGACUACUUUUAAGCGCUUCAUGACUCCCCACACACCUCCACCGCCACCACCACCCCUCGCUAUUUGUGGAUCUUCCCAGGAAGAGUGUGGGUCAAGUGAGCGUGAUCAUCAUGAGCUUGUUUGUGACUAAUCCUCAGCAGGGUUGUGAAAAAAUGCCAGUCCGAAGAGCAGACGGCAGUUAGUUAGUAGACAAAAACUCUGUCGACCGCUCAGUCGGGUUCUUUCACGGGGCCUCUUGGAUGGGCAACGCCAGCUGGAGGAGCCAAGCCUCCUCCGAGGACACGGACUCCUCACUACCAGGGGACCUUGAAGAUGACUACUCAGACUACCACUUCCGCAUUGGGCGCUGUUGACCUUUGACUCUAUUUCAUCAAACGACACAAGACAGUCACAUCACCGCACACAUCGUCUUCUAUUGGGCUUCGCGGGCAUUGAUAUAAACACGAAUCGACGCGCCUACGUGGCGGCCAUGUUGGGAAGGUCAUCGUUCCCAUCGACGGAAACGGCGCACCAUUGCGUUUACGUUUCAGACGACGAAAAACAACGGCCUUCAUGUAUUGUUGUAUUUGUCUGGCAUUGUCUGCCCUAAUGUGGAUAUUCCCAACCACUUCUAACUUUAGAAAACACAUUAGCCCUAUUUUAUGGAUCAUGCAUCUUUUGGUCUACGUGCUAGUCUCGCAAACGUACGCACGCACGCACACACACGCAGAGAAAUAUCCAAAUUUGCCAAUGCACUUUUUAUGUGCUUUUAUUUUAUUAGACUUUCAUGAUCUGAUUUUAAAAAUAAAUCAGAAAUUACUCACCCUUUA